CAUGCCGUAAACGUUGGGCACUAGGUGUGGGGGGCAUUCCACGUUCUCCGCGCCGUAGCUAACGCAUUAAGUGCCCCGCCUGGGGAGUACGGUCGCAAGGCUAAAACUCAAAGGAAUUGACGGGGGCCCGCACAAGCGGCGGAGCAUGCGGAUUAAUUCGAUGCAACGCGAAGAACCUUACCAAGGCUUGACAUACACCGGACACGCCUGGAAACAGGUGCUCCCUUUUGGGGCUGGUGUACAGGUGG
rnacentral:rRNA from 1 species